CUCGCUGUGAAGAUGCAGUGUACCCGCGGCAAGACGGAAAGACCCCGUGAACCUUUACUAUAGCUUGACACUGAACAUUGAGCCUUGAUGUGUAGGAUAGGUGGGAGGCUUUGAAGUGUGGACGCCAGUCUGCAUGGAGCCGACCUUGAAAUACCACCCUUUAAUGUUUGAUGUUCUAACGUUGACCCGUAAUCCGGGUUGCGGACAGUGUCUGGUGGGUAGUUUGACUGGGGCGGUCUCCUCCUAAAGAGUAACGGAGGAGCACGAAGGUUGGCUAAUCCUGGUCGGACAUCAGGAGGUUAGUGCAAUGGCAUAAGCCAGCUUGACUGCGAGCGUGACGGCGCGAGCAGGUGCGAAAGCAGGUCAUAGUGAUCCGGUGGUUCUGAAUGGAAGGGCCAUCGCUCAACGGAUAAAAGGUACUCCGGGGAUAACAGGCUGAUACCGCCCAAGAGUUCAUAUCGACGGCGGUGUUUGGCACCUCGAUGUCGGCUCAUCACAUCCUGGGGCUGAAGUAGGUCCCAAGGGUAUGGCUGUUCGCCAUUUAAAGUGGUACGCGAGCUGGGUUUAGAACGUCGUGAGACAGUUCGGUCCCUAUCUGCCGUGGGCGCUGGAGAACUGAGGGGGGCUGCUCCUAGUACGAGAGGACCGGAGUGGACGCAUCACUGGUGUUCGGGUUGUCAUGCCAAUGGCACUGCCCGGUAGCUAAAUGCGGAAGAGAUAAGUGCUGAAAGCAUCUAAGCACGAAACUUGCCCCGAGAUGAGUUCUCCCUGACUCCUUGAGAGUCCUGAAGGAACGUUGAAG
rnacentral:rRNA from 1 species